UUAAAUAUGAAAUUAACGUAUAAUAAUGUAAUAUUCUUUUUGUAAUUACGAAUGUUUACAACCUACUUUAAACCAUUGCAUUUCAAACAGCCUACUGUUGUUUUUUCCUGAAUUAAUGCUGAUAAAAAAAUAUUUAUAUUUCUGCCUAUAUACUUUACUUUUCGUUAUUUAGGUUUCAUAAAAUUAAGAAGAUAACUGUUCAUUAACGUGAUAUAUAGUAAAAAGUAAAAAGUAUAUAAAACAAAGGUUUUCAUAAUGCACAAUUACGACCAACAGAUUUUUCUCUUACCUGAAGAACUGUAGAAGAGCGCAUUUCUGAUAAUUAUAUUCAAAUGAAGCUAUUUGCCUGUAAUUAGACGUUUAUAGUUGUUAUAAAAGUAUAGUGGGUAGAACAGCCCACAUUAAAGAAAACAAAUUUUAAAUAAAUGGAAUAACUGUCGUGUGAAUUAAACAAUAUUUUGCUGAACAGUAAAUAAAUCUAAUUAUUAUUUAAUGCGAUUAAAACUUAUUAUACCACUUUCUGUAUUCAUAAUCAAAUGAAUUUCACAGUAAAAAGGCAAAAAGAAUCAUAUCAAAAUCUGCUUGAGAUGAUGUAUUUUUUAGAUAAAUCCAAACUUCUAAAAUUUCUGUUUUGUGAAUUAUACUGUUUAUUUUUUAAUUGUUUCCACGUGUUAGGAAUAAUUUAUAUUCGUAUCAUUUAAUUUAUUACGCCUAUUUAAGCGUUUUCAAUAAACAUGUAAUGGAAAUCUAGAUCGAUGGCAUUUUUAAAUAUUUCCAAGUUUAAAACGUUUCAAAUUCAAUUUUGCCAAACCGACUAAUUAUACAGUAUUAGCAAAAUUGAAUUUGAAAUUUUUUAAACGUUGAAAAUAAUCCGACAAAGUUCAAAUCCAGUAAACAAAAAUGAUUCCAAUUUUACAAGUUUAAAAAAUCAAUUUUAGUUUAUUAUAGUGCAAGUUGAUAUAAACAUAUUUGCAAUAGAUAAUUAAUUUAUCUCCAGUUUUUUCACAAUCUGUUGUACUUUUGGAUAUAUACUAUCAAUUCUUCUGGGUUUGGUGGAAAGGUUAAUUUCUUCAUUAUACUGUGGCUGAAUGAAUUUACUUGCCUCUAUAGCCUAUGCUACAUCCUGUUGUCUAUGGAAAUAUUAAAAAAUGAAUAUAACCUCAAAACUGGACAGGUGUUUUCAUUAAUUUAAUGAAGUAAUAAUGUGCUACAAUUUGUUAAUUUAGUUAGGAAUUACUGCGUAAGUAACAAUAUAAAUAUUGCCCAUCGGUGCUUAAAUACUUUGAUCUCAAGUUUAAUAAAACUAACUAGUUUUGAGUCACCCUAGUACCUGAAGUGAAGCCCUUCUAAUUUCCAACAGUAUGAGUCAAGAGUGAGCAAUACACGAAAGCGUACUGAAGUUUGUUUAGAUAUUACGAUAUCUUCAAGUGGAUGGUGUUGAUGGUAUAGUUUUUCCUGCACUUGGAUUUGCAGUAGUUGUCUUCUGUGAAAGCCUUUCGUACCUUAUUGAGGUAUAUAUAUUAUCUUAUAAGCAUGAAGUUAAUUUUUAUUGUACCCUGUGGUGUCAUUUUUCUUGGACUAUGGACAUUGGCCUGCCGUUAACAUCUUCAUUUUGCAACAUUAUCCAAUUAAUCUUCGACGAAUGAUCGAGAGAGCACCUUGAAGUUGAUUUGCAUCCCAAAUUGUCUGCAGUGGCAUCAUUCUUCCUGGAUUUGCAUUACUGUUUGCACUUGUUGACUUUGGCACAUUGUAAUUAAUUAAGAUCGCCGGUGGAGAAGAUAAAGAAGACCCCGUAGUUAAAAUACUUGUCUAUUUUGCAUGUUUUUUGUAGUUUAUUUUAUUUGAAUUAAUUUUUGAUUGUAGAUGUUGUUAUUGUUUUUAGUUGUAGUCGUUAUUACUGUACUAACACGUUUAGUUUUUUUUGGUAGUCAUAGUCUAACAUGUCUCUUGCUUACCUCUUCGCUUAGCUUACUGCAUAUUCUUCCUAAUUUGCU